AUGGGCCUAACAGAAGCAGAAGAUCUUAAGAAGAGGUGGCAAGAAUACACAGAAGAACUAUACAAAAAAGAUCUUCAAGACCCAGAUAAUCACAAUGGUGUGAUCACUCACCUAGAGCCAGACGUCCUGGAAUGUGAAGUCAAGUGGGCCUUAGAAAGCAUCUCUACGAACAAAGCUAGUGGAAGUGACGGAAUUCCAGUUGAGCUAUUUCAAAUCCUGAAAGAUGAUGCUGUGAAAGUGCUGCACUCAAUAUGCCAGCAAAUUUGGAAAACUCGGCAGUGGCCACAGGACUGGAAAAGGUCAGUUUUCAUUCCAAUCCCAAAGAAAGGCAAUGCCAAAGAAUGCUCAAACUAUCACACAAUUGCACUCAUCUCACAUGCUAGUAAAGUAAUGCUCAAAAUUCUCAAAGCCAGGCUUCAGCAAUACGUGAACUGUGAACUUCCAGAUGUUCAAGCUGAUUUUAGAAAAGGCAGAGGAACCAGAGAUCAAAUUGCCAACAUCCACUGGAUCAUGGAAAAAGCAAGAGAGAUCCAGAAAAACAUCUACUUCUGCUUUAUUGACUAUGCCAAAGCCUUUGACUGUGUGGAUCACAAUAAACUGUGGAAAAUUCUGAAAGAGAUGGGAAUACCAGACCACCUGACCUGCCUCUUGAAAAACCUAUAUGCAGGUCAGGAAGCAAUAGUUAGAACUGGACAUGGAACAACAGACUGGUUCCAAAUAGGAAAAGGAGUACGUCAAGUCUGUAUAUUGUCACCCUGCUUAUUUAACUUCUAUGCAGAGUACAUCAUGAGAAACGCUGGACUGGAAGAAGCACAAGCUGGAAUCAAGAUUGCUGGGAAAAAUAUCAAUAACCUCAGAUAUGCAGAUGACACCACCCUUAUGGCAGAAAGUGAAGAGGAACUAAAAAGCCUCUUGAUGAAAGUGAAAGAGGAGAGUGAAAGAGUUGGCUUAAAGCUCAACAUUCAGAAAACGAAGAUCAUGGCAUCCUGUCCCAUCACUUCAUGGGAAAUAGAUGGGGAAACAGUGGAAACAAUGUCAGACUUUAUUUUGGGGGGCUCCAAAAUCACUGCAGCUGGCGAUUGCAGCCAUGAAAUUAAAAGACGCUUACUCCUUGGAAGAAAAGUUAUGACCAACAUAGAUAGCACAUUCAAAAGCAGAGACAUUACUUUGCCAACAAAGGUCCAUCUAGUUGAGGCUAUGGUUUUUCCAGUGGUCGUGUAUGGAUGUGAGAGUUGGACUGUGAAGAAGGCUGAGCACCAAAGAAUUGAUGCUUUUGAACUGCGGUGUUGGAGAAGACUCUUGAGAGUCCCUUGGACUGCAAGGAGAUAG
rnacentral:lncRNA from 1 species